GGGGAAAAGUUAUGUGAAUUGCAGAAUUCAGUGAAUCAUCGAAUCUUUGAACGCACAUUGCGCCCGCCAGUAUUCUGGCGGGCAUGCCUGUCCGAGCGUCAUUUCAACCCUCGAACCCCUCCGGGGGAUCGGCGUUGGGGAUCGGGACCCCUCACACGGGUGCCGGCCCCUAAAUACAGUGGCGGUCUCGCCGCAGCCUCUCCUGCGCAGUAGUUUGCACAACUCGCACCGGGAGCGCGGCGCGCCCACGUCCGUAAAACACCCAACUUUCUGAAAUGUUGACCUCGGAUCAGGUACGAAUACCCGCUGAACUUAAGCAUAUCAAUAAGAAGGAGGAAACCC
rnacentral:rRNA from 1 species